AGCUUGCCGUGGAGGGCCCAGGUCAUAGCAAUGACAGCUUCAGUGCCUUCGCUGCCUUUUUCUUGGAUCCUCCGCCAAAGAGAGUUUGCCAUGCUGAGAUGGGCGUGGGUGCCGGCUGUGGUGACGGCGUGCUGCCACUGCAGCUGCUGUCUGGGCGUCUGGAGUGGGGCGACGGCAUGUGGGGCGGCUAGGCCACACGCUCUGAGAAGUUUGAGUCACCGCAAAGUAACUGCAGCCAGCUGGGAAAGAACAGCUGCAAACAGAAAAGGUUGGUGUCCUGCUCUCUGGAGGCCAGGCCAGAGUGGCGAGAGGAUGAGGAACAGAGAAAUGGAAUUCUAAAGUUAAAAAAGAAAUGACCUUGAGCAAGCCCUGAUGGUCUAGUGGUUAAAAUUGGGUGCUCUCACCGCUUUGGUGGUCCGGGUUUGUUUCCCCGUUGUGGAACCACACCACCCGCUGUCAGUUGUCAUAUUGUGGUGGCGGCUCACAUAGACAACUAAAACUAACAACUAGGAUACACAACUAUGUACUGAAGCUUAAAAAAAAAAAAAAAGAAAUGGUCUUAAUUCAAACUGACUUAUAGAUGAUCCCCAGGGAAGAAAGACAUAGUGUAGGGAACACUUUGAAGAACUCACAUUAAAGUAAAAUAAAAAUAAAUAAAUAGAAUGUAUAAAUAGAGAUAUUCUGCCUCUAUGUGAAAAAGUUAUCUAUGAUUCUUAUAUACAGCUUGGGUUAUACAGAAAAGCAAACGAAGACACAAAAUUGACCUGUCCUGUUACCCUAGGAGAAGGAAACUAUAGGUGCAUGAGAAGCACUGAAGAUCCAGAAGAGCAUCAAAGCCCAGAAUAAGCUGAGGCUUACACAAAUGCUGAAGACAACAAGACAGUAAAGACAAGUCUUAUGUCUUGAGCAGGACCAAGAAAGACACAUGCUCACUAAGUGGAAGAUGAGAUGAAACAAACCACUUGGUUCUCUCCGACGUUCAUCCCACUCUAGCUGCAUACCAGCCUGGCAGUUUGAAACCCUGGAGAGGAGGACAACUAUUAAGAGAUUAAAGACAUCAUGUGUCCUGGAGGCUAAGGGAAUUAGCACGUGGGAUCACAGAAGCAUUGUGGAUAAUUUUUGAGAAAUUGUCAGCAAUGGGAAAGAAAUGUUACAAGUGUUGGCAUGUGGGAUGUCAGGAAGAAAUAGUUGCUUUUUACCUCCGUACUUCUGAAAAGAAGAGCUUGACACAUAUUUUAGCACCGAUUUUCGAAAGGAGGAGAAAUUGGCACCCGUGGCGGGUGAUGACCCAGGUGAGUGGAACGGAAGGGCCUGGAAACCCUCCUUGCUUCAUCACCGCGUCUUCUCAAGGAAACCUGUGCCGCAAAGCUCUCUCUGCCUAGGAGGGAGAAACUGGAGAGAACAAGGCAGAAACAUGCCCUUGUUUGAGCCUGCAGAGGAGCUGGUCAACCAGUUUUCAUAUUUCAAGUGCUGAGAGCCAUGUGCUAUGGGCAGAAAGAUAUGUAAGGUAACUAUCUUGUCUGCAGGACAUUCACUAGGCACUCAGGUGUGGUGUGGUCAUGGUCCUACAUAAAAAUGGUAACAAAUGAGGCGCUGGCCCGGUAGCGUAGUGGUUAAGUUCUCACGGUCAGCUUCAGCAGCCCAGGGUUCACAGAUUUGGAUCCUGGGCGUGGACCUACACACUGCUCAUCAAGCCAUGCUGUGGCAGCAUCUCAUAUAUAAAAUAGAGGAAGGUGGACACGGAUGUUUGCUCAAGGCCAAUGUUCCUCAGCAAAACGAGGAAGAUGGGCAACGGAUGUUAGC